rnacentral:sRNA from 1 species
GUAUACUGUAUUCAAGACGUAGGCUGCAUUUGUGACGAAACGUGACAACAUCGAACGAUAUAUCUACAGACAUCGAGCUGAGUUUGGAGCUUCAGCAGUGGGCGCAGAUUAAAGAUAUUGAAAAUGUGAGAUACUCCAAAGUAGAGACAAAUAAUACCAACACCUUAUAUCCUAUGUCGACAAGUUCACGACCCCUAGCAGUGUGAUCGCUCAGGAUACAAAGUUUUUUCGCAUCAAAAUUAACCAUACCAGAAGAAGAGAACCUAAACGUUGAUCUAAUCUAUUAUUAGAAACUAUAAAAUGAUUGGUUGAAACCAAUAAAUGGCAGACAUUAUGAGA